CCAGAGAGCAACUCUACCGCUAUUUGAAAAAAUAGAGGAAAGUCCGGGCAACUUAGAGCGCCAUGCUUCCUAACGGGAAGAGGUUCGUGAGGGCCUAGUAAUGUAACAGAAAAUAACCGCCGCGGUCUUGUACCAGGUAAGGGUGAAAAGGUGAGGUAAGAGCUCACCGGUUCUUAUGGCAACAUAGGAAGCCGUACGUCUGAUGGGUUGUAAGGCCAUGUAUACCGGCAGCUGAGGACUGCUCGUCCAAUGCCGGGGGGUAGGCCGCUAGACUGUCGAGGUGACUCGAUGGCGAGAUAAAUGGUAGGGACUCCGAUUUUUUCGGAUGACAGGACCCGGCUUAUAUGCUCCUCUGGUCUU
rnacentral:RNase_P_RNA from 1 species